AUUGAACGCUGGCGGCAGGCCUAACACAUGCAAGUCGAGCGGAAGCAGGGAGCUUGCUCCUGGAUUCAGCGGCGGACGGGUGAGUAAUGCCUAGGAAUCUGCCUGUUAGUGGGGGAUAACGUCCGGAAACGGGCGCUAAUACCGCAUACGUCUUGAGGGAGAAAGUGGGGGAUCUUCGGACCUUACGCUAUCAGAUGCGCCUAUGUCGGAUUAGCUAGUUGGUGGGGUAAAGGCCUACCCAGGCGACGAUCCGUAACUGGUCUGAGAGGAUGAUCAGUCACACUGGAACUGAGACACGGUCCAGACUCCUACGGGAGGCAGCAGUGGGGAAUAUUGGACAAUGGGCGAAAGCCUGAUCCAGCCAUGCCGCGUGUGUGAAGAAGGUCUUCGGGUUGUAAAGCACUUUAAGUUGGGAGGAAGGGCAGUAAGUUAAUACCUUGCUGUUUUGACGUUACCAACAGAAUAAGCACCGGCUAACUUCGUG
rnacentral:rRNA from 1 species